UACGUAGGGCGCAAGCGUUAUCCGGAAUUAUUGGGCGUAAAGAGCUCGUAGGCGGUUUGUCGCGUCUGCCGUGAAAGUCCGGGGCUCAACUCCGGAUCUGCGGUGGGUACGGGCAGACUAGAGUGAUGUAGGGGAGACUGGAAUUCCUGGUGUAGCGGUGAAAUGCGCAGAUAUCAGGAGGAACACCGAUGGCGAAGGCAGGUCUCUGGGCCGAUUCUGACGCUGAGGCGCGAAAGCGUGGGGAGCGAUCCGG
rnacentral:rRNA from 1 species